GCAGGAAGAGCCAAUACUACACA
rnacentral:siRNA from 1 species